rnacentral:rRNA from 1 species
GAUAAACGCUGGCGGCGUGCAUGAGACAUGCAAGUCGAACGAAGGAUCGGGCUUGCUCGAUCCUUAGUGGCGGACGGCUGAGUAACGCGUAGGUGACCUACCCCGAAGUGGGGAAUAACUGCCCGAAAGGGUGGCUAAUACCGCAUGUGGUCGCACGUUCAUUCGUGCGAGUAAAGCCGCAAGGCGCUUCGGGAGGGGCCUGCGUCCGAUUAGCUCGUUGGUUGGGUAAUGGCUUACCAAGGCGACGAUCGGUAGGUGGGCUGAGAGGGCGAUCACCCAGACUGGGACUGAGACACGGCCCAGACUCCUACGGGGAGCAGCAGUCGGGAAUUUUGCUCAAUGGGGGAAACCCUGAAGCAGCAACGCCGGGUGAGGGAUGAAGGCGUUCGGGUUGUGAACCUGUUUUGUCAGGGGCGAUGAUGACGGUACCUGGCGAAUAAGCCACGGCUAACUACGUG